UGUAAGCGUAUACCAAAGUUGUUGCAGUUAAAACGCUCGUAGUCGGAAUUUGGCAGUUCCGGAUGUGUGCACGUCGUGUGCGCACUUCGCGGGGAUUGCUUUUGUGGUCUUGCGUAGGAUGAGGCACUUUUAUUAGUGAACGUCCUCACGCAACCACUUUUUACUGUGAGAAAAUCAGAGUGCUCAAAGCAGGCACUUGCCGUGAAUGUAUUAGCAUGGAAUAAUAGAAUAGGACUUGGUUCUAUUUUGUUGGUUUGUUGGGACUGAGUAAUGAUUAAGAGGGACAGUUGGGGGCAUUUGUAUUUCGGUGCUAGAGGUGAAAUUCUUAGAUUACCGAAAGACAAACUGCCGCGAAAGCGUCUGCCAAGGAUGUUUUCAUUGA
rnacentral:rRNA from 1 species